CUUUGCGACGCCUCUCUGCCCGCGCGUCUACGGAGCUGUCGCAAAGUGAGGGCGCCGGCCGCCAAGCGCGGAAGCCUGGCAGGGAAGAAGGCGGACCCGCGUGGCGCUGGCAGCAUGGGGGACGCGCUGGACGAGCCGUGGUGGGAGGCGGCGGCGGGGGAAGGCAGCGGCUCAGGUAUGCCGCGCUCGGAGCGGGCUCUGAGCCCUCCUUCCCCUGUCCGCCGGCUUCCCCGUUCCCUCUUGCCCCCUCCCGCUCCCAGCUUUUCACGUCCCGCUUCACGUUUUCCUCUUUCUCUCUCCACCCGCCAGAAACACGCUUUACGAGAGUUUAAAAGCAGAGGGGAGGGAAGGGGGGGAUGGGGGAAGGCAGCACGCUCUGAGCUCGGAGGGCGGCUGCCCCUGAGGGUACAUAGCCUUAUAAAUUGCUGCGUUCCGAACUGGGCUUAGCUGAUCUUAGAACCGCAGAGUAUCCCGAGCUGGGAGGGACUCACAGGGAUCACCGAGUCCACCUCGUGGCCCUACGAAGGAGCACCCCAAAUCCGAGCCCUGCGUCUCAGUGCCGUGUCCAGACGCCCCUUGAAUUCCUGCAGCUCGGGGCCUUGGUGAAAGGAUGUCGCUUAAUGCGGGCUGAUGACCGUUAUCUUGAGCGCAUUUAUGGUUCUGUAAGGCCUUGGGGAUCCUAAACCCAAAGAAGAGCCUUUGGAGGGAGAAGUACCCGUGUGGUACGUGAGUGCACCACCUGUGUGCUCAGCGGGUGGUGAUGGGCUGUGAAAGGACGGGAGCUGAAUGGCUUCUCCUUUCCAGCCGCUGCUCUUUGAGCAGGUCAUUUGUCUCUCUUCCCAGUGAUGAUGAUAGCUGGCUCUUAUACCCGGUGUCUUACGGUAGAAUCACAGAGUGGUUUGGGUUGGAAGGGACCUGAAGUAUCAGUAGUUCCAACCCGUGCUGUGGGUAGGGCUGCCCCCCACCAGCUCAGGCAGACGGUUUCCUUUGAAAAGGCACUGGGAGAAUCUAUUGAGAAAAAUUGUACAUACAUAUUGUAAGGAGGGGGUCACAAGCUUUAAUGAGGCUGCUGAACAUUUCAUUUUAAUUCUCAGUCUCAUCGGUGUUCUACUAGCACUUCCUAUUCCCAUGGCAAAUGCUCUUCAUAAGGUAUUUAGGACCCCUUAAGCCUCUGUGCUCAUCCUGCCAACUAGAGGUUACCUUUAUGGUGGCUGGUAAACUGCUUUUUAUUUCAUAUUGGCAGCUUUCCUUUAGAAACUCAGUACAUUUCAGGAAAAUGUUUAUUCACUUGGAUGAUACAUUUUUGGUAUGAUGGAUAAAUCGUCUGACUUUGAGCUGAGAAUCCCAACUCUCAGUUACACACAACUCCUCCGGAUUUUUGUGAUUGUAAGGUUGCUAAGGUGUCUAAUCCAGCCCUGUGCUAAAAAAAAACCUACAUGUAGUGAACUCCAAAAGUACUAUAUGAAUGUUUUACUACUUACAUUGCAGGUGAAUGUUGUGCGCGCCGCAUAUGCGUUCUGAUCUCCGGAUUCCACCUUUGCAAACUUGUUGACAGGUUCUUUAUGCGGAACCUGCUGUUCUAUUAUGUUGACACAAUCAGUUAAGUAGGAAGAAGGUCCAUACAUUUUUAUUGUGUGUUGCUGCUCCUCACGUACAGCAGAUGUAAAAUCAAUUGUUAAUUUGUACCACAUCUUGUGGACACUAAAGUGCUUUAAGAUCAAGUGGCAAGAAAUAAGGAGUCAGAGUUUACAAUGUGCGCUGUAAGCAAAAAUACAAGAAUAUAAUUUCCCACUGGAGCUUUCGACAGGUUUGAUGUUUAUUUCUGUGAAACACAUAGUUUGUUUAAAAAAAACUAUCCAACUUUAAUCGCUGACCUAUUUUGAAAAGCAUCUCUGCCACAAUGAUGGGUAGAAAGCAGGAAGAAAAUAAAAUAUACUCUUUAAAUACCUACUUUGUGCCAAGUCCCUUACAACUAACCCUAGAAUAAAAACUGACCAAUGAAAUAGUCAUCCUAAUAUCUCAGCCCUCCUAAGUGUCUUCCAUUUUAGCAACUUGUACUCGGAAGACACUACUUCUAAGAAGUGGUGUAUGAAAAGUGUUCGGACUCUCUCAAAGGGGAUGAAAGUAGGGAACACAUGUCCUAAUAGAUGGAUGUAUGAGUAAUUCCUAAUCUGAUUUUGACCACAUCAUUAGGAACCAUUAGUUUAGAGUCUGUGUUAACAGUUGAAGGUAGUUACUCUCACUUUUGGGACAUGAAUGUUUGCAUGAAGGGAUUAGCCAUCUAUUUACCUUGCCACGUGACACAAACUAAAGUAUCUUUGCCCAGUAACUUCUUCAGCAUACUUUUUGCUGUCAGAGAUGUGAAGAGAGAGGGUGGUUGGGGAUGUUUGGCUAUUUCUUAGUUUUGCUUAGUGUUACACGUGUCCCGAGUCAUAUAACUUCAGGGCUUCCUUCUUUCCAUUUUACCAGUCUAUGCCACAACUAUGUGCAGUACUGAAUACCAUUUUUGUGUUGUACUCAGAGCUAGAAGGAGAGAUUAAGGAAUACUGAGGAGUUUGUUUAGUGCUGGUGCAAGAUGCCAGCAGUUUCCUUUUCUCUUCAUGAGCAGAAAGAGAACUUCAGACAGAUUACAAUGUCUCUCUUGCCUGCUAUGGGUGUGCUGCAUCUCCAGGCAGGCUGAGGGAGGGGGACAGGCUUCUGUUUUCCAGGAAUUCUUCCAGUUACCUCUUUUUCUGUUACCACUCCUUGCCUUUCAUUCUCUGUGCUUUCCUUGUCUUCCUUUAUCCCGUAAGACUGUAGUAUCUGUCCUUGUCAGUUCUUUUACAUUCUUAAGGAAAAAGCUGUGUGGAUCACGUCCCUUAUAAGUUGAAAUGAAUUGUGUCAUCCCGAGUCAGAGCAAAAGACAGGGAAACUCUUUUACGCCAGCAGUAAAAACAGGUAUGAAGUAUAAUAUUGUACUGUGGAUGAUGAUGACAGCACUUGUGGGGUCGUUUGUGUGCUCUAAAGCAAAGGAUGUUGUUGUGGGAAUUCAUUUUUUUUGCCCAUAUGUUUUUAUUUUCUGUUAGUAGGCUGGUAAUAAAGGGUGCCAGAUAGCAUCAGUUUGUUAUGUGGGCUUUGCAGCUGGUGAGAAGUGGACUGUUCAUUGUAGGUCUUUUGAGAAUUCUCUUGCAUGAUCAGAGCUGGGAUCUGCUGGUGAGCAGACCUGUGUAUGGAGAGUCUUCUCUCUUUCCUUUGGCUCAUCCUUCAGCUGCUGUCCCUUCUGAUGAAAGCUGUUAUUGUGCUGAUGCUCCUUUUCACGUCCAUCUGAUGAGGGUGCCAGGCUGACAGCUGCUUUUUGGAAAUCAUUUCACUUUGCAUCACGCACGCUUGUUCCACAUCUUGCAGAACAUAUCACGGGGUGCUUCUGUGAGCUUUAUUUGGACCACAGCAAAUGUCACGUGUAGCUUCAGAAUUUUAUUGUUAACUGUAGAUUUAGUGAAUUAACUUGGAGAGCUUCUCUUUUUAGUGUAGAAGAGUCUUUUCUUGAUUUCAGUUCUUUGCCAAAAUGUGUCUUGUAAGGCACAUGCUGAAAUAAGGUUUUGGUAGGCCGAUCUUUUGAAGCCUUCACUUUUUUAACUACCCAUAGAGAAUUUCUUGUGAGGCUGUUGAGGGAGGCAUAGGUUUCUGUUGUGGGUUUGCAAAAAUAGUCCCGCAGGAGUGCUAAUGUGUUGUACUGGCUCAGUGGCUAAGUUAAACAUUUAGCUGUGAAAUAAAAGGGAAACAAAUUGGGUAACCGAACGCAUCAAAAUCUCUCUUUGCUUCAGCAAAACGGUCCCAAUUCUGGCUGUGAUGUUGCGAUCACCACCAGCUUUUGCUUUAUUUAGGAAUUAGGAUUUGGCAGUUCUUAAAGAAAGACCUAUGUGAAAGGAGCUUUCCCACAAAUUAUCAGUUGAGCCAUUUAGACUGUUGGAAUGCACUCUGUUAGGGGAAGAAGAAUGAGGGAGACAUUAAUACCAGGGAAACAAAUGAAGUUUUAUAUUCUAAAACAGUAACUCGGGUUAGUUGGUGUUAUGGAAUUCCUGCGGGAGAGUUACUUGCAUUAAUAGUAUCUUGUUAGUUUUAUCUUUCUACAGUAAAACAGUCAUGAAUCUUCUUGUUAGAACAGCAAUUGCUACUUUGCAGAUAACUAAAAACUAAGAACAAAUGUGGAGCCUCUUCUAGCGUUUGAUUUCUUUUGUUUGUCUUGGCUGGAAGGAAAUUUGAGUGAUUUUUAAGUGUUUAAAAGAGGAUGUACUUUAAGGAAAAAAAACCAAACAGGAAAAUGGCAAAUUCUCCCAUGGGUGAGCAAGAACUACUUGUGCAAAGAAUUGAUUUGGUUAAAAAAAAAAACUUCACUAGAAGAUACGACUGCAACUCUCCAUUUUCCAUGAUAGUGGGCAAUUGAAAGGGAGGGGCAGAAUUGCAGAGGACUGAAAUAACACUUCUUAAAGUCACAAAUAUUGUUAUACUUGACACAAAUUUUGAUCAGUUCCAAUGCAUGCUGUUUAAGUGAACUGAAAUCUAAGUACUGUAGUCCAAAUAAAAGGAUGACAGUUAAGAUAACUAAUACAAGCAAUGUCAAUCUCAAUUUUGCAACUGUUUUCUAACGGUAACAUCUGCAUAAAUGCAAGUGGGGUGAAUCAACUCACUGACAAGAGAAUUGUUUGUCUUCAGGUUACGUUUCUAAAGUGAUGUUUGGCACAGCAAGAACUUGAAACUUCUGGAAGCUCUAAGCAUUACAGAAGAGUCAUUUUUUUCCAUCCCUCUCUUCAUUUUGUCUUUGCUAGCUAACAUAAAACACCAAGAUUGAAACACUUGUUUACUAGACUGACUGAAAACGAAACAUUCCCUCGUUCAACCCUGUUUCAUGCAGUUUAUUGCAUAAAUCUGUUGAGACAACAUUGGUGUUGUUGUUUGUGAAAUGUGUCAAAACUGAUUUGUAUCUCAUUUGUUUCUCCACUGUGAGUGACAAAUUCUGAAAUUACACCAGAAAAAUGAGAGCAGACCUUGGUACCUACGGACACACAGUUACCCGUGUCUCUUAAAAAUCUGACGUUCUCUUGCUGUCCUGUAGUUGGUGACCAUUAACCUGCCGACCAUGCGGGUGGUUUCAGACUGCUCCCCAAUGGAAGUAAAGGUUCAAUUGCUUAAACCCAUGUCACAAAUCAUAGAAAAUGAUUUACCUUCUCCCUCCACUGUGAAGACAGGUUUUAGACACAGUCCUUAUAAUAUGUAGCUUUCCAGAACUGCUGUCUUGAAGUGUCUUGUUGAGAUGUCCAGCAGGAAUUCUGACAGGUAGUUUAGUUGCAUUUGUUGGCUUUGGUUUGGGGAUCCGAGUUGGAACUGAUUGACGGAACGCAUCAGUAAUCUUGAAAUAAACAGACAAACAAAAGGUCAUGUUAGGAGGAGAGGUUGGUUAUAUGUUUAGCACUGUACUGUUCUUUUCCACUUCAUAUAAUUGAACAUGUUGCUCUCGCUUAGAACUGUCUGCCUGAGUUUCCUUACCCUCAUUGAUAAUGAGAGUGUAACACUGAAUAUAACUCACCUGCUUGAUUGAUAAAUACCAAAGAAUCCAAAUGGUUGGAAAUUCUCUCCCUAUUAAUAGUUUUUCUGUCAGCUCUCUGAAUAGGACAGCAGCCAUUUGGGCUAAGUGAUGGCAUGGCAUUCAAAGGCUGCGAACUCUGACUUCUCUGGGUGAGUAAUCAGAGAAUUUCCAUGAGCAGAAGCAAGACAUGAUUGAGUCCUGAGUAGCAGAAAAGACUUAGCUCGGAUUUUUACUGUGAGAAACCCCUUCUUUGAAAGUGACCACAGUGUACACAAAGUGAAUAUAUUUGUAGGAGAGAACUCUCUCUCCAGAAUCAAUUAUAUUUAAUUAAGAAGAAUUAACUAGAUAAAAGUAAAAAUAAUCACAAUGAGCACCAAAGACAAGUAAAGACCUAUAAAGGCAAGGAGAUUGUUUAAAAGAUGCCAUAUCAGAAACUUGGAUUAAACAUGCGCUAAGCCUUCAUGAAGGAUUUUUACAUCACAAGGUUUUUAUACAUAUCCUUUGUAGUUAAACAGCAGCAUAAAAUAAAUUCACUGAGGAUUUAAAAAAGAACAAGCAGAAGAAGUCCCUACCAAACAUAUGGAAUGGAAAUGUUCAAAAGAGGACAAUAGAAAACAGCAUAGAAACUUUAGUCCAAUGAAGUAUGAGUGAGAAUGAGCUGAACCAAAACGAGUUUUGAAAAACAACUUCUGGUAUCUAAAAAAGUAUACCUGGAAUAAAUACUUUUGGGGUGCAUCAUUUUAAGAGCCUACGACUUGGUUGCAGACAACUGUACAUGAUAUGACUUCUCAGGAGGAUAAAGCAGUAGUGGAAAAGUCAACAUUAAACUUUUGCAUGUAUUUGUUCAGUAUGGAGAAACUUGGGGAAAGUUUGCACUUCAUACAUUUGCUUAGUGGAUCAUGAAUAAGGGAAAAUAGAUUCAUAGACCCAUUAAGGUUGGAAAAGACCUUUAAGAUCAUUUAAGAUCCUUUAAGUCCAACCUUCAACCCUUCCCCACCAUGCCCACUAACCGUGUCCUUCAGUGCCACAUCUACACGACUCUUUGACACCUCCAGGGACGGUGACUCCACCAGUUCCCUUGGGCAGCCUAUGCCAAUGCCUCACCACUCUUUCUGACAUUUUUCCUAACGUCCAACCUGAUAUCCAACCUCAAUAGGGAACUAGAAUUCUGAGGUCUGAACCAGUCAGAAUUGGUUUGAACUAGCUCAGAAUUGGGUAUAAAAGAAUACAGAGGAAGAUAGCAAGGAUGAUCGGUUAUGGAAUGUCUUCUGUGUAAAGAGUGAUAACGUACACUGAAACUUACAUUUAGAGAAUAGGUUGAAGAGAGAAAAAACAACACAAAAUUCUAGCAUUAUUUCUAGUCCAUGGAUAGUGAACAAUGGAAUUUGCUCUUUCAAAUGGCGUACUUGAGAGGGCAUACACAGAAGAUAUCAAAAGACAGGUGAAAGAUAAGGAAGUGUCUUCCCUUGCUAAUGAACAAGAACACAUUGGCACAGGCAGGUAAAAUGAUUACAUAACUUUCUUUGGAGAGAGAUUAGAUUGAUUCAUGAAGUCCAUCAAGGACUGCUGAACAUAAAGAUGUGAUGCAGGUUUCAGCUGAGAAGAGCCUUAAGUUGUAGACUGCUAGAAGCUGGACAUGUCGCUCUGCUUACUUGAUACAUAAGCUUUUUUUGGUAAGCAUUUACUGCUGGUCACUGCUGACAUUGAGAUACAUGGAUGCUAGGUCUAACUGUGUGACUUGUUUUAUAUUUUUAUUUUUGAAAUUAGGAAUUAUUAUUUUGUAGCUUUUAUUUAUACGCUGAGAAGGAAAAGUGUUUGGCCUUGAAAAUGAAGAAGAUAAAAGGAGGUGUUUUUCUUUGCUUUGUGGUCUUUGAAAGAUUUUACCUCUGGGUGGCAGCAAAGUUUGUGGUUUGGGUUGCAUCAUUAUUUUACUAUAGCUGAACUGAAACUUUUAAUUAAAUGCUGAAUUAAAAAAGGACAUGCAUUUGAAAAAUAAUUCUCAAUUUUAUCACUCAGAUUGUUAUCACAAAAGGGAAAAAACACUAUCUUUUUUUCCCAUGCGAAUGAAUUAUACCAAUGUUAAGUGUCUACGUUAGGAUAACUAAACAUGCACUUCUGCAAUUUGACUGUAUUUGACUAUAUUGCAGUGAUUUCUGUUAUAGGCAGGAAUCUAACAAACUAUCCAACUAGCUCUCUCCCUCCUCUUUCAUCUCUUAAAAACUGUGGUUUCUUCAUCAUUCCUAAUACAAAUUACAGAGUGAAAAGGGUGAAUAACUUUAAGUCAAACACUUAGGCUGAUAUUUAAGCUUUUGACUCUUAUUAUGUGUAUAGCUAGAUCAGUGACUAAACUUUAUUUUUUUUUAACUUUCUACUUGACAUAAUGACUCUGCUAUGAGUUGCAAGAAGACUAUUUUGGGGCAGUUGACUAGAGAAGUGCUUAAGCUGCUGUGAUUGUACCUGCAAAGAGGGGGUGGCAUUGCGUGGAAUUUGUUUGGAAAGUACUUGGAAACAACUUUAUAUCAAAGACUUCACUUAUUUAAUUGCAUAGUGAAGAUUUUUGAACAAUCCUCUCAGUGCUUUCCCAACUACUUGGUCUAAAGGCAUGCAUUCAGGUACAGUAGAUGUGACAUGCUUGUAUUUUUUUAGGAAGAACCUUAUGACUAAAAAGUUAUAUGAAGAUAUUGGUGGUCUUUUCAGUUUGAUAUUUAGCUCUUAUCUGUUUAUGGGUAGUCUGUGUGCACACCAAGAAUGUCCUCAAACCCUUUCAACCCUUUUUACCAAUUCAUUUCUUCCAUCAAGAGGAAUGGUUUUCUGUCUACCUAAUUCUUCAUUGCUACCCACUUGUUUCCUGAAUUUGCCAGCUCCAUGCUCAUAAUUGGUGUUAAGUUACAGCUCCUGGAGUUCUCAUUUGUAAAACACUUCUUCUAUUUGCUGUCUUUCUAAGUGAUGGAAGAGGAAACAUGACGUUUAUCCUUCAAAAACCAGGCUGAACUGCCUUUUGUACUCCUCUUUUCCACUCUCAUCAGUGCUCUCAAAACACUCCUAGAAAUUAAGUGUUUCCCAGGAACUACCUAGAUGACAUUUUAGCAGUUGUGUGGUUUUCCUUUAUUUCAGUGUCUGUAAAUGCACUUAUGUAAUUGUAGGCAAAUAAUCACAACAACAAUCAAGCAAAGACAUUAAACUAGUCAUGCUUUUGAAAUGAGCAGGUUACAGAGCGUGUCUGUCUGCAAAAGUAACAUUGUUAUAUUAAUUUUAGGUGUUGGAUUCAGAAAGUAUCAAAUAAGUAGUUAAAGCAAUGACCUAAGGUACAAGAAAACUGCUGUUUCAUAAAGAUUAUUUACAUUCUUCAGUUUUAAAUUGACUUCUACUGUAGAUGUCAAUCACCUGAAGUAGGAACAGGCAAGAGAAAGGGUAUUACCCUGAGAACUGGUAUGGGCUGCAGGUGUUUGUUAUCCCACAGUGGAUGGCAGUGGGUACUUCAGAGGUUGGAACAAACAGUUCACAGGCGACAGCUGUAAGAUUUUCACACGCAACUGUGAAAAUGCCCCUUUGUAAUUUCAGGAAGUUGGCCGUGAAGGUUUGCUCUGACAUACGAGGAUUUAGAUUCCACGUACCCAUCAUUCUUUCCCAAGGGCACAGGGGCAGCCUAUCGGUUACAGACAUGGGCCGUCAGGCGUUCUGUUACAAUGCAGUGCUGGUUUUCUGGGGAGGGGGCUAAGGCAGGUGUGCGUGUGGGUGUGUGGGUGUCAGGGAGGGCAAAUACACCUGUUUACGUGCUGCUCAAGUAGUUCUGCCUUUGGUCCUAAUCUCAUUUUGCUCUGGAAGUGAGGUGCAUGCUUUGCUUUCUGUUUGAACUGUAUUCGUUUGAAUAGAAGGGAGCACAUCGCACUUCUGCUGUAGGUUUUCUCGCUUAUCUUUCUAGUGUGAUUGUAGAACUUUAUCUAGGAGAAAUAACUUCAGAUCCGGUUCUCUCUCACUCCUUAAUUUUUUUAGUUUAAGAAAUUUGAGCAGUAGAAAGAAUCGUAUGCAGCUUAAAUGGAAGCAGCCAGGGGAUGGCCAGGGCUGAAAAGCCCUUACACAGAAACCCAGAUGUCUGCACGUGCAGGAGCGUGCUGCUUGCCAGACUGCAGCUUGUUCCUGGAUGACGGAAUGCAGUCAGAACCUAAGCCAGGUCUGCAAGUGAGGAUGAGUUAAGAUUGAGUGGCAAAACUAAAUAUUCCCUUUGGUGUCCAUGCAAGAUGUUUUAGGCUGAAAUUUUCAGUUGGGCCCCUUGAGCUGCACAGGGCAUUGGAAUAUCUCCUUUUCUUUCACUGUGUCCUGGCAUCUGUCUUCUAGGAAUCCGGUGGGGAAUUUCUCAAUUGCUCUGUAUUUCCUUUUAGGCAACUGGUUUGUGUGCAUGAUAUUCAGAUGUGUAAGAAGGAGCGGGAUCAGUAGUCCUUAUUAAUGUUGGUGAGACCUCAGCCAGAGUACUGUCUGGCUUUGGGCACUGCAUUUUCGGAAACAUAUACACCAUUAUAAAUAGCUGUGCAGCGGGGAAAUAAUUACUGAUCUGUAUAGCUGGAGUACUUGAGCUAUUAGAUAGGAAAGUGAUUGGGUUUGUUUAACCUGGAGAAAACAGAAGUGAAGAAAGAUAUGCUGCUGCUGAGAAAGUAGUUCUCCAGUUCCAGUGGGAGCAUAGGAAACAAAAACUGGAUAUCAAUUUCAGCACAGGGAAUUCAGUUUACAAAUUAGCAGGAUUUAUAGUGGCAAGAAAGCUGCAGCCCUGUUACAGAUUCCUGGGGUAAGUGAGAAAUUAUCAUUGCAGGGGUUUUAGAACAGGAGGAGCCCGGCAUUUGGAAGGGCUUAGGUCAAAGUGUAAUAGGAAGGUGGGCAGAAAAAUGUCCCGAGGUCCCUUCUGUGCUCAGUUUUCUAUCAUUUCUACUGUUUUGCUGAUAGUAGGCCUAUUACAGUACCUGUGAUUUCAGCAAAACGAAGUUUUUGACAGAGAAUUAUAUUAAAAUUAGAAAUAACUUCCAUAUAUGUGAUGAAUUGCACUCGUGUGCCACCAGGGUGUUGUUUGCUGAUCAACCAAGCUUACAUCUACUUUCUGAUGGUGGAGAAAAGAAAAAGUGUUGGACAGAGUUGGGGACAAGAAUUGAAUUCCUAAUUACUAAAGUUCUGCCAUGUGCCUUGUUCUUUUGGGAUAUCUUCACUGGGAAAUGCGAUAACCUUGAAAUGUAAGGUAGUUAAAGGCUUGUUUUUUAAUAGGUGACAAGACACAGGGAAAGGUGAGUCUGUGUUGAGGGUCCUUUCUCCUAGGGGAAGGACUGACGUGGGCCCACAGGGCAGCGCAGCCUGCCCUUUCCUGAGAUGGAAUGCCUCUUGAACUGAGAAGGGCUCUCAGGUGCCCUAUUAGGGCACUGACCAUCCCCAAGAAGAAACUGUGCGUCCUUUUUGGGCUAUGGGGCACCAUGCAAUAUUAAUUCUGUCCAGGGGAGGGCAGUCCCGACACUUCAGUGUUUCUGCUGGUACUUAAAAGUCAGUAUAGUUCUACAAUACAUCGUUUUACAAAUACUUAGGAGAUCAGGAAUUCUCUCUGUUUAAAUCACUGCUGCCAUUCGUGGAGUAGAAGUCUUGACAUUGAGUCUCAUUCCGUAUGGGUGGUGGGCAUCUAAGGAUGUGUUUGUACAUUUGUAAAUACCCACCUCUCAAAGGUGUGUAGAACUGAACUCAUACCUACAGACACUUUUUAACAGGAAAGCAUUCUCAGUAUUAAAAUCAUCCGCUCAAAAGCUCUGAAUCUUUUCUCAUAUAAGUUAUUAUAUAUGUCGAAGCAGUUUACAGAGGUAACCAGGUUGUGUCCGAGGAUACUCUGCAUGGAGGAGGAAAAAGAACCCUGUGCUUUUAUCAUCAGGGCCUUUCUUCUGUUUGGGAGAAGGCUGCUUUCCUCUGUGAGGGUCACGUUUAAUGGAUAAUGUUAAUGAGAGUCCCAUUUUUACAUACAGACAUAUAUUUUACGAUGCAGUGAAUAUAUGUGUAAUUAUAUAAUUAAACUAGCUAUAUAUUUCAAACAGAUGCAUAUAUUUAAUUAUAUAAUUAUUUUAUAUUAUAUGCUAAUUACAUUGGUUAUGAUGAUAUGCAUUUAAUUAUAUGAUUAGUAUGUCUAAUCACAAAUCUUUCUCUCUAUAUAUUACACUUGUACAAAAAACUCUACAUUUGUCCCCAUUUGUUGAUGUUUCUGUGGGAUAAAACACCACCUAUAAAGGCUUCAGUGUGAGACAGUCAAAGAUGAGAAAUUCUGGAUUUUAGUCAUGACUGGAGCUGCUUUUCUAUGCUUGUACACAAGUCAGUUAACUUCUCCCCUAUUUUUUUCUCCUCUCAGCUGUAAAGUGAGAGUCAUUUCUUAGCACCCCAGAAGGCUGUUAGUAGGACUGCUGAAUGGUGGUUGUACAUUUGGAGUGCUUUGUGAUGUAUUUAUGUGCUAGAUUGCAUCUCUACAGACAAUCGUGGUGGUAUCUAAGGAGAUAAGACCAGGCUUUGGCAGCAAUUUCAUUAUAAAGAGGGCUCAUCUUUCAUUGCUUGUCCCAGCAGUUUUGCUGACAUAGCUGCUUGUUUGAGCUGUGCUAUGAAAUUAACCCUUCUGUUUGUUUGUUUGAAUCCAGAUUAGUUUCUUGAUCUGAUUUACAGUGCUACUUCAUGAGCAGUAAUGUCAGCAUAACUGAAUGGACAGUACCCUGUAGUAGAGAUAAGAGGGGAAGUUGCUGCUCUUGCCUAUCCUUGCAUGAAGACCCUGGUAUGUCAGGCCAGUGCCUGUGGAACGGAGAGUCCCUGACUGAAACAGGCUUACCCUGCUGCACUCAAAAUGUGCUUCCCAAGUCUGCUUAUCUUAGUAGUCUGGGGACAAUCAAGUGCAAUUGGAAGCUUUGACAGUUGAGGCUUUCUGGAUGCCCACACAACUGAUGGGACAUUUGAUGAUGGGCUGUCAGAACUUGGUCCCAUCUGGGGGCCACUGGCUGCAGGUUUGUGGAAACACUUCAUUCAUUUUAAACUUUUAAGGAAAGCCUUUUUCUUGAGCAGUUUCCCCCUUAGAUUGCUUGGUGCUAAUUUUGAAAUGUCUUUAUGCACCCACUCAUGCUGCGCCUGAACCAUAAGAUCUUUUUCCUCUUCUGUUUCUUGUUAACAUAAUGUUGGGUAGUCUUCACUUAAGUCUGGAGAUUAGGCAGUUGCCAGUUAGUGUUUUGCCUGUCUCAGUAGCUGUUCCUAGGGACAAAGUCCCAGGGAAAAUGGGUACUCAAUUUCUAUCACCUAACCCUGCAGAAUCCAUUCAGCCUUAAUCAGAAAGUAAUACUUCAUAAUUCUGCUUUAUAUUCUUUUUUCUUUAGUGUGGGAAGUGUGGUUUUUUAAGCCUUUAUGAGAUCCAUACAUAGAGAUCUUUUUUUCUUCUUACAGCCUUCCUUUGGUCCCCAUCAACCAUGUUGAUGUUAUCUACUGUGCUUUGAAUCAAGAAGAUUAUCUGGCUAGUCCUGUAUUUUUUUGUCAAUUAUAUUCAUGAAUUAGCAACUCAAGAGAGGGAUUCUUUUCCUAAACCUGAGAUACCUUCAGUUGAUGGAUGGGCACUCUGCUCUCAGUACCAUUAUUGGCUCUUAGUCUCUUCUUUUUUCUUUUUCCCUCCCUUCCCUCAUCUGUCCUCCCUUUUGUGACGAGAAAUUAGAAAUAUUUCAAAGGAAAUAUUUUAUUGCAUAAACAUAACGACUCAGAAAUGCUGAGGACUGAAAUGUUGGCGCUGCCUUUGCUUGUGUUCCUUUGCUUGCUUACAGAACUAAAACUGAAAAGGGAAAGCGGGCUGAUAACUUCUGCCAUUUCCUUUAUCAUUUAAUUUUUCCUUUCUAUUUCUGAGGACUUAACAUGACAUCCAGUGCAGAGAGCAGAUUUGUAGAUCUGAGAGGAGAUGUAUGCAUGCUGGUUUGGAAAAGGGAUGGGUUAAUGCUAUGAUCUGCUGAAAACUGUUCUUACGCUCCAUUUCAUGGCUUAAUCCCUCAGAUAUAUCCUACUUAGUGGUUUGGGUUUUUUCUUUGCGACUGUAUUUCCCAUUCAUAUUUAUUUAUAUCACCGUUGUAAGUACCUGUCAAAUUUUAGGCUUUUGGGCAAAUACUGAAAACUAAAGUGUCUCAUCUUCCAGUAUUAAAACAGCAGUACUUACCGCUUGGAGUGCAUCUGAGUCCUGGAAAAACUGCUUGGUUGAAAUGUAAUACAAUUAUGCUUGGUGUUUUUGUUCAAAGUGCUUAAAAGGUCAUUUAAUUUUUCCCUUGCUCUGUUUUCUCUUUGCCUGCUAAGCAAGUAGGUGAAUAUUCCCCUUCAGUAAAAAGAAAUCAUCUGAGAUACGGAGUGCUGAUCUGAACAACUUGAAGUAAAUUUGUAAACACUUGCAAUUUCAGUCUCUAAGCUAUGCUUUCUCUUCUUCUGAUGAAAAUAGAGCUAGCUUAUUUUUAUUCAGACAGCUGUGUAAGCUUCUGCUCUCAGCAAGUACAUCCAAGCAAACGUUCUUCUCUGCUAUAUAUUUUGAAACAGAUGUUGGGAAUUUGAAUGGGACGGACAGGUUUCAUUUUGCAAAUAAAAUAAUUAGGCAAAAUAAUAAUUGUAUUUUUCACGUGUUGAAAAUCUAUGACAAAAAUUCCCAUGUAAAGUCAGUUGAGGUCUAUAUGUAGAUUAUUUAAUUAAUGGGGGGAUAUAAGUGUCCCUUAAUCAAGGCAUGUUUUUUAGGAAAUGUAGCAAGUUCAUUUACGUAUAAUAUUGGUACAUCUUAUUUGAGAAUUAAUGGUACUGGGUGACAACUUCUUUGUGUUUUGUUAAUUGGACAAUUACUGGACAAUUGGACAGUUACUGGUAAACCACCACCAGUAGACAUACUGAGACAGGAGCAGAAGUACUGUCCUUGUUUAAUGAUUAAACUCAACUGUUGUGAACUUUGGCCUAGGGUUUGUAUUGAAAACUUAGCCUUAGACUGUGAUGUCCCUAUUCAUAAUAGCUUGGGAACUGUCCAAAGGUCUAAGCAUGCUUGUUGCUAUUAUGUCCUGUUUUGUGUUGUCGUUCAAAGGCAUUGUAAUAGAUGACCAGGUAGUUAAUAAUCAACACAUUUCUGUACAUUUGGAACACGGCUAUAAAGUGAAAUAUUUUUUCCACAAGGUUUUAAAGUCUGAUUGAAGAAAAUGCUAGUGUUUCUGAAGGACAGUUGUUUAUCCUUUAAUUUGUAGAGAAUCUGACAUCCAUUAGUAUGCUGUCAAGUGUGCACUUCAGGCACAGUUACUCAGUACCAUGCUUAUAACAUGCCCCUGCAGAGAUCUUGGGUAUCAAUCAACAGAACAUGCAGUAUUCCAAAUUCUAGACGUGCAGAGAAUGCAUUCUGAAUGGACUGCUUCUGCUUUUUAAUUUUGGAUGAGCCUCGCAGUUAAUAAUGUGUAAGCUGAAUGUAAGAAAGUUACUUGUUUAUAUAAUUGGCACAGUUAUGGUACAUUUAUUAUAAAAAUCAAGUUAUCAUCUUGACUUGCCUGAGUGCUAGCUACUGUCUCGAUCGGUAACUUCUGCUGAAGUUGGUGGGAGCCAACCUGCAGUCUGCUUUGCAGGAUGAGACCAUUCAUUUCUUCUGACCCAGACCUUAAUCAGAUCCCACUUUCGAGUCAGCUAUGAUAAACUGAAACAAAUCUAGUGUGAAGGACCUCUUAUGAAGCCUGAUCGCCUGAUACAGCAGUUCUUGAAGCUAUUCAUGACAUUAAGCUAGACUUAUUCCAUCCUACAUUUUGACCUUAAAUUUUCCACUGCUCAGCUAUAGCAUCAUAGAGUCACAGAAUGGCUUAGGUUGGAAGGGACCUCAAAGAUCAUCAAAGGAUUUCAAAGUACAUUUGCUACAUUGACUUCCAAUCACAAAAUCUGUAACUUAAUAAUUUUUCUUCCUACUGCUGAUUUUACCUAGUAGAAGUGUGUAUGGGUGGUGGGUUUUGCUUUUCAGUAGAAGCUAUUCCUUCAAAUAUCAGCUAUUACCUACAGCUGUAACCAUUUGGGUUCCUGUCCAAUAAAAGUCCCUUUGUUAUGUUAAAGUGUGUGCCAAAGUCCUUUGCUGAAUUAGCUGCUAAAUGAAUUAUACUGCAGAUAUGUUUUUCUUCUUUAAACUCCAGAUAAUGUAAGCAAAAUAAUGAUACGGGUUUAGUGAAGAAAUGAAUAGGAACUUUGUCCUUACAUGCAAACUUCCUUGUCAAUAAGGAGAUUUUAUUUUAAUUUCAAUCCUUCCACCCCCUAAACGUAAGUUACUUAGGCUUCUUUGGAAUAGGAAUUACUUCUUUAGAAUAAGAAGCUGCCUUUCUAAAUUCACAUUUUUUUUCAAGACAGCUUUUGUGAUCUGUGAUCUGAAAGUGAAUUUCAGAUCUUUUGGCUUGAUUCACAUUCAGUAUGAAGCUGAUCUAUUACUUGCAAUAUUUUCUGGGAGGCAACAAUUUGCUGUUUGGCCCACGUGUAAACUGAGGCAGCACUGUUUAAGUUUCUGACCUCUUCUUAGGCGCUAAUACCAUAUCCAUUACUGAAAUAUCUUAACCUGUUUUGUCUGUGCUGUAUGGUACUGCAAUUUACCCUAGUCCUAGAGGCCUGUGUGUUCAGAGAGGUGGUCUAGUGCUACUUCUUAUUGCUUCAGAUGAGCUUCCUCUGUCUAUUAUGUGAAAAAUAUGACGGUGGGCCACAAUCGCUAAUCUUGUUUCUCCUUCAGCGUAUUUAUGUAGCACAUUGGAAUGACAGUGAAGAGCUUAGGUGAAAUUUGAGUGUUGUAUGUGAAUGCAUUCUGAAUUAUCGCUUAGAAAUGCAUUUCUGUUAAUUGUUUUACAGUGUACUUAAGUGAUAGCAAAGUUUUCUGUUGUAUUGGGAAAAAAAAGCAAACAUUUGCCUUAUUGGGAGGGAAUUAUUUUGUAAUGUAAGCACCUGAAUUCAGGUCACUUACAAGAAGGGUUUACAUGAGGAUAUAAAAAGGGAUCUGUAAAAUGAUGGGGAGAAAAAGUGGUUGUCUUGGUCUGGAGCAUAUCAUUUAUGCAUCAUAAAUCUGAUACAAGAUACAAUACAUGUUAUUUUGAUCGUGUGUGUGAUAUAAUGAUAAUUAUCUGAAAUGAGAGAGCUAGGAGGAAUUUGGAAGUAAUGGAAGGUAACACGUUAAGUCUUUUCUGAAGUUAGCAGGCAAUAUUAUGGCUUAAUUCAAAUUCUUCCAUACAUGCAAAAAAAAAUGAAAAAAUAAAAAAAUAAAUACAAACACACACACACACAAAGGAACCAAAAAUGUUCUGCAAGCAAUGAUAAAAAUAAUCAAUUAUUUACUGUUUUUAUAAUGUUAAAAUAUUUCACCAAGGCAAGUCAAAAGUAAUGUGAGUUAUUUUGAAAAUGGAAAUACAUAAAGAUGCAUUUAUACAAGUGCAAGACUAGAUAUUUUACAUAACUGUAUUUCAAUUAGAAGAUAUACAGUAAGUGCACACUUGAUAACACUAAGCAGGCAAAACUUAACGUUAGUUUCGUAUACUGUUGUAAAGUUCAUGCACAGAUCUCUCCCAUAGGAAAAGGGCCGUUCCAAACAAUUCUUGCUGGGAUGAAAAACAGGAUGGGUUGCUGGUAAGGGUGUCAGCAUGGAUGAGGGUCAGUUAUAGACAUUACUUACUGUAAUUUGUGAUUGCCGUGGGAGAGGAGUGGCUGUUGGUGUGAUAGUAAUACUGCUGGUGAUUUUAUUGGUGGGCUUACUGGGUAUUCCAUUAGCUAGUGCUGGAGUUCUGGUAUCUUGCACUGGGGUACAAGGGCUGACGGUCUUGGAAGCGGUGAGAGCUUGGACGUAAGGACUUCCUAAGUGGAUGUGGAUUUUGUUAUCCUCAGUAGUUAUUACACUUGAUCCUGUGCUGUUAGAUCUCUGAAACUGCCAUGACGACUGCCUGUCUGGGGAUACUCUGAAAACGGCAUGCUUGGCUCCCAUUUCCAAAGGCUCCGAGGAGAGCAUUUGUUCCUGAGAACUUGAGCCUGGUAAAGCCAAAGGGGACAUUGUUCUUUCAGGCGUUAAGGAACCACAUGAGUCAGGAGUUUGAGAUCUUGCAAAAGCAGCCACAGUAAUGGGAGAGAUGGCUUGCUCUGGGCUCAUGUAACCUUCUGAUACUUUAGACUUUACAGGCGCGAAGGAGGCAUUUUGAAUAAUAGUUAUUCUUUGUUUGGGAGUGCCACAGUUAGGUAUAACGGCUGUACUUGUAUAGGAGUGAGGACUUUCAGUGGUAGGACUUGUUAUUUCGAGCGUUGCUGUGUUCUGUCCGUGGUCCGGAGUUACUUUUAUGUGCAGAGGUUGGCCAGGUGUAUGGCUUAGCACUAGGUCUCCAGCCUGUGCACAGUUUCCAUUUUGCUUUGCGUGAAUCUUUCCAUUCUGGUGGUGGUUUUCUUUGGACUUCAUCCAAGGGAUCCAUAAUUUCUUGUGCAUGGCAUUCCCAAUGGAUGAGUUGCUUUUGAAAGACACUGAUUGCUCUUCCUCGUUGCUGUCUUUGUCCUCAUUAUCACUGUCUUCAUACAGCUGCCCGUUUAUGACUGCUCGCUCUAAAGGCAUGAGGGUUUUGUAAUCGGGUGGCUCAUUGUCAGCUGGAUCUGUCUGGACUUCUUUAGAAAAAACUUGCAAGUCAGAUAUCCGCCGUCCAUUAACACUGGGUCUGAGGCUCUUACUGAAACGUCUAUACCUCUCUAAUUCUUUCGUGAGACUUUCCAUUUCUCUUGCUAACUCCCUGUUCUUGUUUUCUUGCUGGGUGAGUUUCUUCUGUAAGACUGUAUGAUCACCUCGGAGGUGACAGAUUAGGUCUUCUGUUGCCAUGUAUUCAUGAAUUUUCUCUUUCAGUGCAUCUACUUCUCUGGAGAGGUGACUUGAUUUAGCUUCUUCUUCUUUGAGCUUCUUAAAAAGACGCUGCUCUUGAUUGGACUCUGCCUUUUCUGUUAGUUUAUACCUAGCGACUUCCAUUUUGACAGCCUCCAGCUCCUCUGACAGGAGCUUGGCUUUGUCCCGUUCAUUGACGUACCUUCGUUCUAGAGACUCAAAUUCAUCUUCAGUUUUCAUAAGAUCGUCCUCUAUGGCCUUCAUUUCUUUCAGCUUCUGCUUAAGCCCCUCAACUUCUUGGGAAAGCUCUUUGAUUUUGUUGUUCUCCUGCUGCAGGGAAGUGCUGGAUUUAGUAGUCUCCUUAAGCUUAUUUUUAAGAAAUUCCUUUUCAACAGCUUCCAGUGACUGAAGUCUUUUUCUUAGAAUAUUUACUUUGGAAGCAAGAUCACUUCCUUUCUCCUCUUCUGCUUUGAGUUUGUUUUUCAGUUCAUCUCUUUCUUUUGUGACACUGGACACUUUUUCCUCUGCAUCAGAUUUUGACUUCAGUGCCUUUUUACUUUCCUCAAUCAGUUUUUCUGUAAUGGACAUCACUUUAUUUUUUUCCACCUGGAGCUGAGAAGUUGCAGCUUCCAGCUUUUCUUCUGUUUGCUUUAUUUUUUCACUCAUAGUUUUUCUCUCAUCCACAAGCAUCACUGUUAGAGUCUUCAGCUUUGUUAAAUCUUCUUUAAGCGUGGACUCGGUUUUUUCUAACUUGCUUUCAAUUGCUUCGAGCUCUCCAACUCUAGCUUUUAAGCCUUCCAGCUCAAGGGACAACUGUUUUGUUACCAUUUUUUCUCUUUCUAGGUUGCAUUUCAGGGAGUAGCAUUCCUGUUUGCUUUUGUUGAAAGCAUCCUCUAAUUUCUCCAGCUCCAUAAUUCUUUUGUUGAGUUUGUCAACUUCCCCUUUAAGGUUCUUGCUCUGUGAUGCUUCUUUUUCUAACUUUUUAUUAAGUUCUCUGCACUGGUCUUCCAUUUUUAUGAGCUCUUCGUCUUUUCCUUCCAUCUCCAGCAGUCGUUUCCUUAAUUCCUCCACUUCAGACAUAAGAGUGGAGUUCCCAUAUUCUCCCUUAUUUAUCUUAUCCCUUAGGUCUUGCAGUUCAUCUUCUGCUUUUCUUAAAGAUUUAUUGGUCUCCUCCAGCUCAUCAAUUUGUCGGCUGAGUGCAUUCAGUUUUAACCGGAGCUGACGAUUCUGGCUAUCUUCAUUGGUUAGUUUGGCCAUCAUUGCUUCUUGAUCUUGGGAAACCUUACUGCUUUGGACUUGAAGUUCAGCCUCCAGCCUGCUGGCUUUCUGUUCUUGCUCUUGAGCUUUUGCUUCAGCAAAAGCGAGUUUCUCAUGUGCUUGGUCUGCAGAAGUGGUUAACUCUUGAAUUGUUUGACUCUGUUGAUUCAACUGCUCAGUGAGUCUUUGUUGUUCAUCCACAACCAUUAAAGCAAAGGAUUUCAGUUUAGUCAAUUCUUCCUUCAGUUUAGCUAUUUUCUUGUUGUUUUCCUUCUCUUUUUUUUCUUGAUAUGCUGUUUCUUGUUCAAGAAGCUUUUUCAGUCUAGGGAGAGGAAAUAAUAUAAUAUUUUGAAGCCAUUUCAAUAGGCAUUUUAAAAACACACUUGAAAUAUUAUGACAUCUGCCAGAUGUGCAUGAACAUUCACUUGUAAUUAGAAGCAGGCCUCCCCUUGUGGUGUCAUAAGGAAGACCCUACAGGUCUUAACUUUUCUACUCAGAACUCUUUUAUAUUGGACACUUGAAUAAUUAUCAUUUACACUUAAAAACUUCUGCUGUUAUGCAUCUUUAAUUACAUGUUUAGCUUUUGACAGGUAUCAGUGCAAUGCAACUGUUUGAUGUUCUGCUCUGGAACAAUGCUGAUUUUGGCUGUCUGCUGACACUAGGUGUGUACAUGCAGGUUAUUUUGAAAAUGCAAUAAUCAUAGUGGUUGAGAAAUUAAAUCAGCGCAGCCCUCAAGGGCAGGUAUACUUUACAGCUUUAUAAACCUCCUAAUACCUUUAAGCUACUUAUAAACCAUCCUGAUCUUUUAUGAUGUUUAUCAUUAAACCUUACAGGUGUUAAAGUACGUGAAGGAAAUGUACCCACACCAGGCUGUUAGAUGCACUCAGUGCAUCAAAGCAAAAACCAAACAAUGUCUCUGAGUCUGUCCUCUGUGGAAAUACAGACCCUAUUACAUUGUAUCACACCAAAAAUCUUCUGUCAAGAGAUAAACAAGAAUUUAGGUUGCGAACAUAAGAAGGCCAAACUUUCUUGCUCCCUACUGGAUUCAGAUUUGGUCUCAUAUUAAAAAUUUGAAGAUGUACUGAAGUGCAUCCCUACUUUAUACAACUCUUGAAACUUUUCACAAUGGGUUUCCCAAAUCAUUGCUUACAAAUUUAUAUUAGCACUCAGUCUUAACCAAGAUGCAGCAGACUUCAAGGGUUCAAGACCUGUGAUGAGAUUGCACAUUUGUUCAUGUAAAAUUCUAAGAAGCCUCCAAAAAUCUCAGAUAAUAACUAGGUUCUUUUGUAGAUUUUUUUUUUCUUUGUCAGAGAGGUACUUCUACAGUGCAUAUAAGGUAAGAUUAGGUUUGGCAGCACACCUGCCUCCUUUCAAUUAGAUUUUUCCCGCAGCUGUUCUAUACAUUAAGUAUGUUCUGAUAUUCAAUAAAGUACUUAAAAGCCUAGAUUGAAAUAAUGAAGCAUUAGAAUUUUUUCAUGCUUCGCUGUUCAUACAUAUGAUAUGUAUUCAAUUGCAUAGAGCAGUAAGGCGGAGAAGGAAUUGCCUUUCAAGAGUGUUCUUCCACAGCUUUAGCUUGCCUUUUUUCUUUUCUUUUUUCUUUCUUCUUUUUUUUCCUCUUUCUGAAGCAUGAUAAGGGCUCUCCAGAAGUAAGUACUGAUGCGUAAGGUACCUGUUCUGCAUUUGUCCCUGGUCAGUGUUGUGAUGUCCAAGCAGGAAGUCUUUACAGCUUUCCACUGACAUGUUCCUGUUGCAGCCAUCCUUUUAGUUCAGGAAGAGCUUAGAUAAUGGCCUCCUUUGCACAGCUCUUUAUUAGCUGUUGACUGACUGGAGGUAUUUCUGGGCCUUUAAUAGGCUGCCUCAGCAACAUCCUCAGGAAGUUCCUGCCUUUCUUCAACUGUCCAUUAGACUUGUCUGGUUUAAUCAUAGAAUCAUAGAAUUGCUCAGGUUGGAAAAGACCUUAAAGACCAUCAAGUCCAACCACAACCGAACCAUACUGCCCUAACUCUAACAACCAUCUGCUACAUCAUGUCCCUGAGCACCACAUCCAAACGGUUUUUGAACACAUCCAGCGACUCAACCACCUCCCUGGGGAACCUAUUCCAGUGCUUUUAACCACCCUUUCUGUAAAGAAGUGUUUCCUGAUAGCCAACCUAAACUUACCCUGGUGCAACUUGAGGCCAUUUCCCCUUGUCCUGUCACCUGGCACCAGGGAGAAGAGAUCAGCUCUGCUCUCGCUGCAAUCACCUUUCAGGUACUGGAAGAGAGCAAUAAUGUCUCCCUUCAGCCUCCUUUUCCCCAGACUAAACAGCCCCAGUUCCUUCAGUCACUCCUCGUAGGGCACAUUCUCCAAGCCCUUCACAAGCCUUGUUGCCCUUCUUUGGACCUGCUCCAGGAUGAAGAUACUCAAUAGAGAUCUAUGACUAUCAAAUUUCUUAACACCUUCACCACCCCCUCAGUUUUUAUUUUAGUGCACUACAUUCAGUGUAAUGAAAUGCUUGCUGUGAAAAAUUGGUGGAAUGGGAAAAAACAGUAAACUGAGUUGAUUUCAAAGAUGUCAAGCAGCCCCAAAUUCUUUACAACAGUAGAUUAGUAUAAUGGGGAAUAUAGACACGAAAAGGUGUAAGGGGAGAGGGAGUGGUUUGUGAAGCGAGCUCAGAAGAAUGUUGCUGGCUGACAGAACAAGAGGACCACGCCAUCUUCAAAGGCGGCUUUUUACUGUGUUGUCAGUGCAUAAACUUGGGUCAUCGUUUUAAUGUUAGCUAGCUUGAUUUCAUUUUAGCGUAAAAAAUCACUCUCCCCUCCCCACCCUUGUCUCUGAAUGCUUUAGUAGUGAAGUUCAAACGAUGAUUUACUGUUGCCAUAGAUAUAAAAACCAUAACAGAAGCACAACUAAGAAUUUCAUUUGGAAUAGACUCAUUUUUUUUAUGUGUGCGUGAACUUAAGACGUAUGAAUGUGGAUAAAAUAGACUUGAGAUAUUAGCAUGUGUUUUAUUUUAGCCUGCUUCACUGUAAUAUAUUUCUGUAAGGCAAAUUUAGCUAAUAUGAUUAAUAUCUAAAUGAAUUGAGAUUUUACUCAACGCUUCUUUAUUAACUAGUUGAUAUCUCUCUGGCCAAACAAAAGUGUAAUGCUCCGGUGACUGAUACCCCUUAAAUUGCUUUAGAAAGAAGACUCUUGGGCCGAAUAGCAACCCAACAAUUCUAAUUUUCAUAGGAAUGCUGUGUAAUAUUUUAUGGCGCAACUAAUAGAAUUGUUCAUAAAUAAAACAGUAAAGUCAGUUGGCAGAUGUUUGAGUGAAUAAUCCCACAAGUCUUUCCAGUGAGCAUUACGUACAUGUACAGUUUGUAUUAUCUUCCCUUCUUCCUUUUUUGUUCUAUAACUUCAUUUCCCAAGUUUUGAUUCGGCAACGUGCUUGAGGUUCCAGCCCAAAGCAAGUGCUUAUCUGAGGUAGUCUAACCCAAACUGUGAUCAGUAACCAUGUAUUCCCAUGGUUAUUUGAACAGAAGUGCUUAAACUAUUAGUAACUGAACUAGAUUGUUGUAUAAGCUGAUAAGAAUUUUCAAGAGAUUUUGUUUCCUUGCUCAUUCCAAAACACUCUGGGGUACGUGGAAGUGUUUCUUUGAUUGAAAACAUAAAGUACAGUUUUAAAAUUCAAGCAGACAUACAAAGAAAAUACUUCUAACCCCUUAAAUCUAUAACAUCACUUCAGUGAAGUCAAAUUAUGGCGCGUAGUUAGAAGCUGUUACAUGAUUUUAAUGUUUUUCUAAAUAGAAGAAAAGGAGUGUACUAUUAUUACUUUAAUAUAUGUAAUUAAAUAUGCUUUUGCACUUGCUUUUGGUAACUGUGGGACUGCAGAAUGGAAACUGAAUACUUGCUGGACUUUCUUCUCAGCCAAUGUUAAGUCUGGCUUCUCUUGUUGUCUGUUAUAAUGUCUGGCCACGUGAACAGCAGAAAAGUUAAAGUGAAGAUGUGACUUUGGACCUGCUGUGUUUUUAGCCAUACCGUAAGGUUUAAAGCUACCAGGUCUAUUUGAAGGACCCAAGUAUGUUGGAUUUGGAGGAGCUAUUUCACCAAAAGCAUUAGCAUGCAAAGGUCAGGAAAAGGUAGCUUAAAAAAAGAAAAAGUAGAAAUAAAAUGAAUGGACACCCCCUAUCCCAUAAAAUAUUUUUAGCAUUUUCAUUUCCAGUUGAAUUUUGUGAUCAGGUACUUUCAUUUUAGACAAAGGAAGGUAUAUCAUUUAGACAAAGCAUGCACAGAUAAUUCCAGGGAGUUGACUUCAUAGGACUACAGGAGCCCUUUCUGAAUCCAGGCCAGCAAAAACAGGCAUUGGAAACUGCUUUUAUGAACAUGAAUGUUGGGUAGUUAAACAGAGUCAGGGCAGUGUCUUAUUACUCUUACUAUGCAGCUUCUGUUAUAAAUUAUUGUUUUAUUGCGUCUUACUAUCCUACCUGUUUGCAAUACCAGUCUUUUUAGCUAAAAGAAAUACAUUGUCUCUGUUCACUGUAAUUGCUUUUCUCAGUAUUCAUCCUAUAGCUUCUUGUCCUUGAUAUCAUGUAUUCAGUGGCGUUGUCUUGAGCUGUACAACAUUACACUUAGCAGCAUGUGACCCUUACCUUUUAGACUUCUUAGUUUGUUCUAGAAUUAAUUGUUACUCUUAGGAUCAUCAUAAUAAUUUUUAAAAGCAUUUUUUUUAAGCAGUCACAGGGUGAAUUCUCUAAGGAUGCUAGUGAAGUAGGUGUUGGCUUUUAAAGCUGGACUUCUAUCAUCUCUUUUGCCAAACUAUGGAGGAGAUCUUAGUACAUCCGUGAUGAGUAUCAAUAUUUUGGUUUGUAUUGGCAGAAAUGACAGAGAUUUUGAAUGUCACUGGUGCUUUUUUGGUAAGUUUUCAAUACACCUAUUCUUAUUGAGCUCAUGUGUUAUUUCCUCCCUUAAAUGCGUGGCUUACCAGAGGCUCUACAGGUUAUGACAUGAGGGAAACUUGCUUCUAAGGUUUUUGGGCAUGUACUUGAAUUUCCCCCUGUACAAUGCAAAUAAAAAUGCUAAGCUGAAAGCUUUUAAAUGUAGAUGAAGUCAUGCCUCUUCGUCUGAGGCAUUCUUCCCAGUUAGCAAUAAGCCACGGUCUGGCUUUUAAUAAGAGAAGAAAUGCGCUUCAUCAUUUCUGGUAAAUCUUACAAGUCGGUGUAAUUUUUGACACCAAUGCAGCUAAGUAUUUAUUUUCGGCAGAAAGCCAGUCUGUCUGUGCCUUCUGCAGUUUGUGGCAAUAAAAUCUGGGUUUGCUGAACUGAGUUUCUGGCCUUGGGGUGGCUACGCGUUUCUUUUCUUUGCCUGCAGUCCUACUUUCUGAUGUGUAGCUUUUAUGAAGACACAUGUUUUGGCUACUUUUAUAGCUCUCUUUAUUAUCUUUAUUGAUGCUUCUUUUUUUCCCCCCCUGUCAUAAAGAAAGUCAAAAGCCUUUGAAAUAACAGCGGCAACAACAUGCCAUAGCUGUUGUGUAAUCUGUUGCCUUUAUCUGAAUCAGUCAGCACUUCCCGACAGAAUGCUAGCACUUACUUUAAUUUUUUCUCCAGUGUGUUAUUUAUGUAUAGAUAUUUUAAAUCAUUAGUUUAUACUGGGAUGCAAAUCUCCACAAAGGGUGUCUCAGCAGCAAGAGACUGUUUGUAAGGCAGAUUUCCUGAUAAGGAAAUUUAUUAAAUGAGGACUUCUAAUGAGGGGAGCGUGAGUUCUGCUUAUUACUCCACAGACUACCACAGAGAGGUAAUCGUUGUUUUAUCUGAUGCUUGAAAUGCUGACUUGCUUUAAAAGGCUUGAUAAAAGUCAUAUAUGAUGAAUGGCGUUGCCAGAUCUGGGUUAACUUGGGCAAAAUUUUAAAUGGAUAACCAGAUAUACUUAGCUUUGAUGCUGAGUAAAUGUAAACAGGGUUAUUUGGUCUUUGAAAACCAAAUUAAGAAUAACACUGACUGUGUCCAUGAUUUCACAACUACUGUGCUGCUGAAAAAUCAUCCUGGGGGAUAGGGAUGUAGAUACUAAUAGAUACUAGGACUCUGGUUGGAGUCAUUUUAAUCCAGCACUAAAAUUCAGUUUUAUCUUAUCAUAAACUUCAUCUUAAACCUCAGUUUAAGAAUAGUCUAUUUUGAAUUAUGUCCUUUCCAUAUCUGGAAGUUUGUGUAAAUCAUCUAUCACAACAUCAGUCUUUCAGAAAUAAAUUUCGUGGCAGUAACUGCUUAUACUUGCAAGUUAUGAGUUCUUAAUUCUGGCCAUUGGUUUCUAGUCUUGUAAUGCUAGCCCUGAGAUUUGCAACACCUGAGGCGUACAGGAAGGUGCAGGAUUCUUAGACAGGAGUGAAGAUGCUGCUAUCCUAUUCACUUGCAGGCAGCUUUGUUUUUUUUUUUUCUUGACUGCAUAUCCUGAAAAACAUAACUGUAAUGAGCUCUGUCUGACCGCAGUAGUAAUAAGCUUUUCUUCGGGUUAGCCUUAAUAAGUUUCACAGAGUUCAGCUACUGGAAAGCAUGGCACAAUGAGCUGUGGUCUGUGUUCCGGUGCGUUCCAUUUUGGAGAUGUACGUCUCUUUCUUCCUUCCCUUUUUCUAUUAACAGUUAUUUCAGGUUAUUUAAUUAUUCUUUGAAGUUAGUAUCUGUUUCUCUUGGCAUUUCAGUGGCAUGCAAGUGUUAAUCCUCUUCUGUUCCGAAUCUAAAUGGAUGAAUAACUGCACAGGCUAUAUUCACAGGAAUACGACUUGGGUUUUGCUGGUUAAUAGUUUGGGAUUUUAUCAUAUUACCAUAGUGCAUUCUCUCCUUCCCCCCAGCAAACUGCCUGUAAAGUCAGAAAUAAAACAAGUAAUUUCAGAAUUUGGAACUCUUCAAAUUUGCGUCAGCCAGGAAAUUAUAGUUUUGCAGAUGGAAAGCUUUCUGAAGGAAAUGGAAAGAUGAACCACAAGAGAUGUGGUAUAGGGGUCAAAGCAACAAGGCUGAGGCAAAUCUUCUCAGUUACUAAUCCAGGUCCUGCUUUUUUUUUCUUUUCAGCUUAAAUGAGUAAAAUUUUGUGCCUGAACUUCAGAUCUAUUAAAAUAGAAAAGCAGUGUUGACUUACCAUAACAGGCUAUUCUGAGAGUUAAUAUUAAUUCAAAGAGGUUUUAAUGGUGCUGUUACUAGACAAAAUAAGCCAACUAAUGCUUUGUGUAAUUUGUGAAUUUUAAAUGACAGUGUCACUGUGAUUUCAUUUUGAACAAAUUAAAUCAGUAGGAGAGGUCGUGUGUCUUUAUGAACCUGAGCUUUGUACUUAAUGUUUAACUAUUUAGUCAUUACUGCUAGAGCAUUAUUGCUUGACCACAUGUUGUUGAACUGUUCUUAGAAUCACCAGUGUUAUAAAGCACUUGGUACCACAGGGGUAAACAGGAUAGUGCUUUCCCACCGUUUUUACUCAUUUUCAUUCCCCAUGGGCAGAUGUAUGUGUUUGCAUUCUCUGUAUGGAGUAUCUGUAUCACUAAUUGCUACCACUGCCAACUUCUACCUAGUAUUACACUGCAUGUAGUACACUGUGCGCUGUGUUUCCCGUUCAUUCAAGUGCCAACAGUUUGAGGGUUGGCUUUUUCUCUUAGGUAUCCAGUCUCCGUCAUUCAAGUAACUGAUGAGUUUGCAGAAGUUUUGAAUCCCUAAAUGUGUCAGUCACUUUAGCUCUAUAUAAGUGUGUAACAUUUAAGCCUUCUUUUCACACUUUUUCGUUAAAUAAUCAUACUACUACUAGAUUAAGACAACUAGAUUAAGUCCAAAAUUUGUUAUCUCUAAGCAAUUUCAAUAGAUAAUUCCUGCCUAUAAUUUGAUUUGAUUUCCUCCCCUGCCUCUCCCCUGUGUAUAUGACAUCAUAGUGUGUAGGUUCAAGGUGGACCUCUGCUUUACCAAUGCUCUUCUGGAGGCAUGUGGGUGAAUAGAUGUGCUACCUGAUUCACCUGGAGCUGUGCUUCUGUCUUGACCAGAACUAAGCACGAUUGUGCAAGUACCCAAUUCAUACAAACUUUUUUUCAACUUUAAUUAGUUAAUAUUUUUGGUAUGACAGAAGAUGGAAUUUAGCCAACAAAAACACAUCAUGUUUCUCAGAGGAGACCGGUUAGUCAUAAAUGUCAUUUUCCCAUAACAUUUACAGGAAUUGGAUGUUCUCUAAAACAAUUUUAACACACAUUUAAUAUAGAACUAAAUGUCUGGGGCCACAUUUUCGUCCAUGGGCAGAAUAGGCAUUGUGCCUCACUCUUAUGCCGCUGUGGCCUUAUUUGUAUGUUACUGAUCAGCAACAAUGCUAAAAUUUAGAAUUUUCCAUGCUCCCAUAUAUGCUUCUGUUGAACUGAAAGGUUGAACUUCCAGCUGCCACCAAUCCUGGGUAGGCUGCUCAGUCAUACAGCACCACUUGCUCUAAAGUAGAAGUUGGCUGCAAACUGGGACGCAUUCUUCAUGUGCUCAAUGAACGUGACAAGAAUGUAUGUGCUUAAAUUGUAAUUAGAACAUUUAGAUUAAAUAUUGUAAGAUAAAUGCUAAAGGUACUUCAGUUCAGAAUGGGAUUUUUCUGGGAAGACUUUGAGUUCUCCAUCAUUUUGAGGAAUGGGAGAUACAUAAAAACAAUCAGACAAACAUUCCUCAGGCAUGAUGUCGGUGUCGUCACUCCCAUGUGGGAGGACAAAACUACGUGACUUCUUGAGGUCCUGCUCAUAUCCGUGAAGUCUUUGUUACAUACAUACAUCCUAGGACAAAAAUAAGCCAUUUUUGGUGUGCUUUGCUUCCGUAUAUAAUAAGCUCUGAGUGCUUGAAGACUGGGCUGGAGCCUGCACCCCAUUCCAUUUUUCUGGGACAGAAAACAUGAACUUCAAUUGUUACCGAAAAUUUAGACUGAGAUAAUUAAAUCUUCUGUGAUGCAGAGUUGCAUGAAGCAGUGCUGUUCAGGCUUUCCAAAAAAGCAAGGGAUUUUAAUAUAAUCGGGUUUAUUGAUAUGGCUGCAGUUCUUCCUAGUAGCUAAGACUGGAAGCAGUAAGAGCAGUAAUAACACUUAUAUAAAACAGAUAUUUCCCUUUGAAGCUAAACAUACAUCUUUUUUGUUGUAGACCUGAUAAUAUGUAGGUAUCUGUUUUCUCUAAAGUGGACUUUUCCAGCACUUCACCUUGGAGGACACAAGUGAAAAGGAGACUGUGGGAAUGUGUUACAGUGCGGUUCACUGGCUAAAGAUAGAUUUGAAGUUGAAAGUGAUGAAGGAUGCUGUUAGUUUCCAAAUUUGCAGUAUGGUUCCUUCCAGAAUUGUAUUAAAACUAUCCCUAUAUUAUUACAAAUUGCUCCUCAGCAUAAUUUUAUGUAUUGAAGCUCUGAUUCUGCGGACAUCGCUGCCUGGGAAAUAACUCAAUUCUUUGCCAUCUGUCCUAAUCCUCCAAAAUGUUUUGCCGUAUGUCUCCUACAUCUGAAUGUGUUGAGACUUGAAGCGUGAGAUGCUUGGCUGUUGUGUUUUCUCUUGUUUCAGUAGGACACUGGUCCACCUUGGCCUGGGAACAUUCAGUGAAUCAUCUAAAGGUGCAAAGCCAGCACGUUUAAAGCAUUUUAAUCCUUAGCAUAGAUGCUCUUGUUGGGGAUUUACACUGACAUGCUCCAAACCGAUCGUCUUCAAGAGGACUACUGCACUGUUUUAGAAUAUAGGAUGGAAAGCUACCGUUGAGAUCUAUUGACAAUAGUCUGAGAAUUUUCUUUUAGUUCUGAUGUUUUAAUAAAGCUCCUUCAGAUAAAGACUUUUGGACUCCAGGUAUUCCCUGAUCUUCAAACAACUGUUAAUUCAGUCAAGCAAUCUCUACUUCAUGAUUGUACCCCAGACUGAAUUAUAACUGAGUGUCAUUAUGUGACUGAAGGGCAUUUGGCUACGUGCCCUAUUUGAUCUCUUUUCUUGCCUCUUGGCUGAUGAUCUGUGAUGUUUAGGUUACAUUUUCCUAUUCUCAAAUGUCACUAUAAAUGAAGGACCUGUAGCAUGCUUUCAUGUACAGUAUGUUUCUGAUGUAAUACAUUUUAGCUUUUAUCAUUAAUUUUAAAAGUUAUUUCGAAUACUGAAAAUAAAAAGACACCAUUAUCUCUAGACAGAACUUGUUAGUUAUUUGGUUAACUAGAAAUAUGCAAGGGUCAUAUACAGGUUAUAAAAAGUUACCUUGUCAAAUUCUGAUAUUUUUCCCCUCAGUUAAUCCUGAUUGAAAUAGGAGAAUUUUGCCAUUUACAAAGAUUCUUAAGCAGAGAAAGGGAACAAAGCAAGGACAAGCAGACACUUUCCUAAGGGUUCCUUUCUAUGCUGCGCCGCAUUUUCCUUCUCCUUUAUAGAGAUGAGCAAAAUCUUUAAGCUUUAAGGUUACUGUCAGCUUUUCUUUGCUAUUUUACCAAAAGAGAAUCAAGGUGCCACCUCCUAGCAGAAGCUUAAAGACUGUUAUCCCUGCUCCCUGCACUGUAUACAAUCUAUUUUAUCUAUCUUGGAAUGUCCUAUAUAGAAUUUGUACUUGAGAACCUUGCUUCAGAGGGUUUAUAUCCCCCAUCCUGCUAACCCAUAUGCAUCCAAAUGCAUAUAACCAUUUAUAUGUUAGACUUGAUCUUAGAAACACCUAUUUUAGGAGAAGUUUUAAGUCUGCCAAAGUUCACGGUGGCCUUCUCGUUGAAGCGAAUUCCAUAUUUAAUUUAGGAUUGAUGUGGGCUGCUAGUCAAAAGAUUUUCUCUUUACAUGUAAAAGUAUAUGGUGCUAUUUGCAGGUCAAGAAAAUGUUUUAGCUUUGAGCAUUAGCAAAUUGUAUUUUUUUCCAUGUUCCUAUACACUAACAGCUGUUGAUGAGCUAGUUCUCAGAGCUACAUCCACAUUAAUACGACCAGUGUUGGAUUUCAGACACUCAGGUCAGGGGCUGGCUGCCCUGAAUGUGGUGCUGUGGUACCCCCCAAGUUCAGGAGGCCAAACUUUAAGAAAUAAAUUAGGCUCAUUUAAUUCACUUUCCUCUUUUCUAGGAAAGGAUCUGAAAGCAGAAUGGCUGAAGUUGAGGAAGUGCAUUUUAAAGUUAAAAACUAAAACAACCGUGGCAUUUAUUAAGCUGCAUCUGAGAGAUCUCUAAGCCUUCUAACCUAUUGUUUCUUCUAACUUCAGUGCAGUUGUGGUGUUCCUUCCCAGGCCUUUGGAAGCCUGUAAAGGACAAUGAAAUUUGGUUCAUGUAUUGUUUAACUUCCCUGAAACGUAUGCAAGAUUAAUCCACCAGCCCACAUUUAAAAAGAAAUAAUGGUAAGGCUUUCCAAGGUCUCAAUGUUGAUUGUGUUGAAUAUUGUAUAAACAUGAAAACUGAAUGUUGUUUGGCCUGUUGGGUGUGAACGCUGUGAAUGAUGCUGGCCAGAACAUCUGGCAAGAUUAGCAGAAAGGUUUUUUAUAAACUAGAAAUGGUCUCACUGUGGAACUGUGCGAAGAUCAAAACGCCUCUGAUAGUGAGGUGUUUUUUUCCUUGUCAGAAGUAUUUCAGUUCACUCUUAGCAUCUGCAUUCUUGGUCAUGCUCAUCAGAGCUUUGUGCACCCUGCCUGUGGGACUUCUGUAACUGUUUGUGGAAGCCUGAGCUCAGGGUUAUGGUGGGCUCUGCAAAUAGGCAAUAUGAAGAAUUCUGCUUCAUUACCAUGGCAGCCACUCUCUGGUGGUCAGCAACAGGUCCCGCACACAGCUCAAGGCUGAAGAAAAGCACGUGUGUAACGCCAUCACAACAUGCACGAUGAGCUGUAGCAGAAGGGGUGACUUGUGCAACAGAAAAAAAAUAUGUCUGUUUAUCAACCUGAAUGACUUGGAGUUGUUUUGAAGUGUUGCCUAACACGGUCGGUUUGAACUCUCACCCUCAAGGGAGGGUUACGUGGUGCUGGUGCUGGGUGUUCACUCGUCUUGGAUAACCUAGCUUACUGCAGGAAUGUUCCCCUGCUUUGUCACCUCGGUUCUGUCACUCUGCUGAGCCAGCAGUGCUUUGGGCGGGCCUGGCUUUGUACCGUCUUUAAACAGGAGGCUACGCCGUGCUACUGAAAUUCCUCAAAUAGCGUGUCCUUGAAUUCCUGAACGCUCGAGGACGGCGGGCUGUAAGAGCUGAGCGUGAUCCAUCAGGCAGCGAGGCGCUGUUCUGACCUCCCAGAGACAAGAUGGUGCCCCAGAGCUGCAGUCAGAGUGGUUCCUGUCUCACUGACAGGGAACGCAGCAAACCUCAAAAUCAGCCGAACGGGCCGAGAGGUGUUAAGACUCAAAAUGCCCAUUACCUCACUUAAAGCACAAGGCUGACCUUGUGCUUAUAUGUACUUACAUGUACUUAUUUAGAGUAUUUCAGCAAUGUCUCCUGCCCUCCAAGAGGGCAGGAUUGCGUGACUGAACUAACCAAGCCUUCAACCACAUGGAGAAAGCUCGAGAUAAACCUCGUGGAUAUCCAUUUAUGAAGAAUCCGCUUAUGAGAAAGACAAACCUAAGCAAUGAAAGUUGUUUGUUUGUUGUUUUUUUUUAGUGGUAAGGCACGGUUUCUAAUUCACAUCAAUUUGAUGACAGGCUGAAGUGUUAAAGGAAACUAUUGAUGAGUCAGAAUUAAAUUUUAUGGGAUGGUUUUCAAAGGCGAGUCUUCCUACACUAUAACCUCCUUAGUACUCUCUGACUUAGGUAUUUUAUAGGGUGUUUUAAUUGCGUCUGUAACGAGCUGCGUUCUGCUGAUACCACACCCAGGAUCUGAGAGCAGCUGUGUGCUCCCAAGGAGCGGUGGCUGCACGCUUUCCCAUGCCAGCCUACCCCUGAUAGGGGACUUUGCCAGAAGAAAAGUGCCAGCUUUUAAGAACUGACACAAAAUGCAAACUGUCCUUGCCAGUAAAAUCAGGCUGUUUGGUUUUCUUUCCUUUCUUUUUUUCCUCCCAUGACAAUGACAAAUGUGAUAAAUCAUUCCAGCAUUAGGUAAAUAACACCGGGGUGAUGUUAUUAAGCCAAAUCAAGCAACGACUUGCUUAUACUGGUACCGGUGGGGAAAAUAAAAUAAGGGCAGGUUAGAUAUGUUGAUCUGUGAGAUCAAUCUCUAAAAAUUCCCCUGUCAGCAUUUAUGUGCCAUCGGUCAGUGGAAGGAAGGGAGUGAC
rnacentral:lncRNA from 1 species